rnacentral:rRNA from 1 species
AUUGAACGCUGGCGGCAGGCCUAACACAUGCAAGUCGAACGGUAACAGGAAGAAGCUUGCUUCUUUGCUGACGAGUGGCGGACGGGUGAGUAAUGUCUGGGAAACUGCCUGAUGGAGGGGGAUAACUACUGGAAACGGUAGCUAAUACCGCAUAACGUCGCAAGACCAAAGAGGGGGACCUUCGGGCCUCUUGCCAUCGGAUGUGCCCAGAUGGGAUUAGCUAGUAGGUGGGGUAACGGCUCACCUAGGCGACGAUCCCUAGCUGGUCUGAGAGGAUGACCAGCCACACUGGAACUGAGACACGGUCCAGACUCCUACGGGAGGCAGCAGUGGGGAAUAUUGCACAAUGGGCGCAAGCCUGAUGCAGCCAUGCCUCGUGUAUGAAGAAGGCCUUCGGGUUGUAAAGUACUUUCAGCGGGGAGGAAGGGAGUAAAGUUAAUACCUUUGCUCAUUGACGUUACCCGCAGAAGAAGCACCGGCUAACUCCGUG